AUCUGUAUCUUUUUUUUUUUUAGAUUCCACAUAUAAGUGGUAUCAUAAUGAUAUUUGUCUUUAGGGCCCAGACUCUGUGAAAUUGAAGAUUUCUUGAAUUUCACGUUAACUUGCAGAUUUUUCUCCAGGGGAGAUGCAGAUGAUUGUGGUAGAAACGAUAACCCUAAAGGUUCUGGUUUUAUUGCCCUGGAGGACAUUAACCAGUUUUGGUUUUAACCUAGUGACUUUAUUCCCAAACUCCUUCCUCCUUGACCACAACUACUCAGUUCCUCAAAGGCUCUCUUCCCAUCCUGGUGGUUCUUGAGUUAAACACACACUUGUGCCGAGAGGGUUUGAAAGCACACAGUGGCAGUGGGACAUCAGUCCAUGAGAAGCAGAGUUCUCACAAAAGCUUCCAUUGUGGAGCUUUGUACCUGCUGCUUCCUCUGUCACCCCAAGGCUGAGCCCUCCUGUCUGUCCUUCAGGCCUUUGCUGGUCUGUUACCUCCUUGUGGCUCUUCUCUGACCAUCUCGUUUAAAAUGCAAAUCCAAAUCUGACUCCUCCUCUCCCUGAUUUCCUCUCUCCAUCCAUACCACAUUUUAAUUUUGUCUGCCUGUCUUCUCCUCCCGGGGAGGUAAGCUGUCCCACGGUGGAGGUUUCUGCCUCUCUUGUUUCCUUCUGUAUCAUUAGCAUCUAGAACAGUGUCUGGCAGACAGAAGGGCCUCGACUCUGUCCAAUGGAUACAUGAAUUAGUUACCAUAAUCUGCUAAUUAACUUGCUAUGUGGAUCUUGCAGAUUCAGCCCUGGCUGUUAGUUGUGAGGCGGACAAUUGUUUGUCCCCUUGUUGCUCUGCUGAUUUUGAGAAAGGGCCCGAAUUAUAGUUGUUUUCAUUUUAUUGACAAUAGCUCAGAGUUCUAGUUUAAUUUAGAGGAAGAAAGCUGUCUAAAAGACAAGCUCAGAUUCCACAAGGACUUCAUGUUUUAAUACGACUUUGUUACAGGUACCUGUCAUGGGGUCAUGUGUUGAAUUGUGUACCUCCCCGCCAAAGAUAUGCUGAAGUCUUAAGCACCAGUAGCUUAGAACGUGACCCUAUUUGGGGUUAUAAAGACAUAAUUAGCUCAGGCGAGGUUAUGCUGGAGUGGGGUGGGCCCUUAAACCAAUAUGACUGGUGUCCUUAUAAGAAGAGAAUUUGGAUACAGACGCAGAGGAGGAGGCCAUGUGACGAUGGAGGCAGAGAUGGAGUGAUGCUGCCAUUAGCCUGGGGCUCCUGGAACUGAAAGAGGCAAGGAAGGAGCUCCCGGCAGGAGCCGGGCCCUGCUGACAUCUUGAUUUCAGACUUCUAGUGUCUGGAGCUGUGAGAGAUUAGCUUCUUUUCUUAGAAGCCACCCGGUUUGUGGUACUUUUAUGGCAGCCCCGGGAAACUAGGUACCCAGUAAAUGUUAGUUCAAUUUCCGAAUGACAAGCCUUUUACACAGACGCCUUUGUGUUCUGGCACCCACAAAAUGCAGCUCUGUGGGAAAAGGGGUGAACAUUUUGUGAGGACAAGCCUAUAGACAAAAGAUUUCCAAAGGAGGGGAGGAAAGAGAGGGCUCUACUUUCCUUCUUUGGUCACGACCCUGACUGAACUAGGAGAAGGGCAGUGACUAAGCUCCCUGCAAAACAUGCGGGCUUGCCCUGGCCUCCUGCUGAGAAGUUCAUUGCCUCCCCAUGUGCCUUUGAGAUACUCGGCUCUUGGAGGACAGAGGCUCCUCUGGCCUGAGAAUGGAAAAGAAAAGUGGGAGGCCCUUCAGGCUGCCAAACAACAAGCCAGGUGAGACGCCAUCCAAGUUGGCUGAGCCAGCAGGAUUGGGAGCUGUCGGUGGGUCCAGCAGAACGAUAGUCAUUUCCAUUAUGAACAGCAGCUGCCUGUAGACUUAAUGGAAUAGGAGCAGCCUCUUGGAUCAGAGGGUGGGGUGAAGGGUGAAUGGAAUGGGGCGCCUGCAUAUGGAACCCCAAGCCUCCGUCUCACUGGUGCCAGCGCGUGGCAAUGGCCAGGGGCCACUUCCCUUCCCCAUUAUUCUCACUCCCACCUCCCUGCCUCUGCUCUCCUGUUCUCUCCCCAGUGUUCUCUCCCAGAAUACGCUCUUUCCUUCGUUGAUUUAAACCCUACCAUUCAUCAAGUCUCAACAACUACCAUUAACCCUUCCCUGCCAAGAUCAGCCCAAACUCAUCUUGUUCUCCAUUUUCCAUUAUGAUCUAGACAGAGCACCUUUGCCACUGAAUAUGGUCCACUGGCCAGUAGCACUGGCAUCACCUGGGAGCUCAUUAGAUGUGCAGACCCUAAGUUCUAAGCCAGACCUACUGAAUCAGAAUUUACAUUUUCAUGAGCUCCACUCGUGCUUCAUCUGCACACGAAGGUGUGGGAAGCACGGGUCCGUAUGAAGCACGGGUCCGUAUUGCUGGUCUCGGAGUGUGGUUUCUGGAGCACCAGCACCAGCAUCACCUAGGAACUUGUCAGAAUGCAACCUGUGAGCCCCACACCAGACCUACUGAACUGAGUCCCUGGGGGUGGGUGGGGGACCCUGCCUUCUCCUGGAGACUCUGAAGCACACUCAGAUUUGAGAACCACUUGUCUACGUCACUCCGUCCAUCAUCUAAUGAUGCUCUUUCAUUUCCUGGCUGUUUGUCUUUCCCUUCAAGUUGGGGACGCUGAGACCAGGAACAGUGUUUGUGUGUGUCUGUGCGGCCGAGGUCUCUGCAUGGGGGGAUGACUGACGUCCAGAGUAACUGUCCAGUGUCUCUGUUCAAGCAUGUGGGGGCUGGAGAGAAGGGAGAGGAUGAAAGGGAGGGUCCUGGGAGAUUCCCCUUUGUUCUGAGUCUCUCAGGGGUUUGAGGUUUCUUGGGGUAGAGGAGAAGGUGUUACACUUCUUCUCUCAAAUCAGAGACCACAUGGGUAGGUACCAUGUAGUUUUCAUAAUGGGUUAAUACCGCGUCAGGGCCUGACCUGAUCCAGAACUCGGUCUCCAACCGUUUUACGUGGCUUUUCCUCUGUGGAAAAAGCCAUUAUUGCCAUUGAGCAAAGAAAGCAGUGCUGGCUCAUUGUUCCUUUUCCUGGAUCAACAAGUCCUUCAUCCGGGCAAGUGGCAGUGCCUAGCUCUCUGGCUUACCAGCGAGAGGGAUUCUCAGACAUGACUAGCAUAUAGCCUCCUCCUCAUGAGCUCUCAUGAAACACUGCUGUGUUCCUUCACCAUCCACUAACUCCGCGGCCAGCAGUCUUGGGCUGGGGAGCAGAAUGUCCCAGAAUGUUGCCUUAAGUGCUCUUCCUCCUCAGGCUGGCUGCUAGCUUUCAAAUUUCUAGACAUAAUUCCUUUUGAAUUGCUUAAUGGGCAUAUAAUUUUAAUCAGAGUCAUAUGACACUUGAGCUGGAAGAAAUCUACUCUUCUAUUUUUAUUUAUUUAUAAGGCUUUCAACAAAAAACAAAACUGAGGAGUUACAGAGAUUAUCUGUAUACUGUCGACCCUCACACAUGCAUAGCCUCCCCGUUAUCAGUAUCGCUGCCCAGAAUGGUCCUUUUUUUUUUUAACCAAGGAUGACAUAUCAUAAUCAUCCAAAGUCCAGAGUUUAUCUUAGGGUUCACUCUUGGUUGUGUACCUCCAGUGGGUUUGGACAAAUGUGUGGUGACAUAUAUCCACCAUUAUAAUAUGAUACAGAAUAUUUUCACUGCCCUAAAAAUUCCUUUGUGCUCUGACUAUUCAUUUAGUGUACACAAACGGGAGAAGGUUCUGGAGUAAAUGUCAUGCAGCUGGUAAACCAGAGAACUAGGACUGGAUCAGCCCUUCCGAACCUUCCGUUUAAGAAUAAGAGUGACCUCCAGACUGUUUUCCAGAACGGGAGCCCCACAGGCCCAGUCCUGGGAUGAACUGUGCGAAGGCCUGGAAACCAGAGAGCAGAGAACAGAGAAGCAUUAUGUAUAAAGGCACCCAAGUCACACCCUAGAGGCAGAGAGGAUGCCCCAAGGCGCAGCUGCCAGAGGGAUGUGGAGACAAGCGAGGUGUGAGGCACUCCGGAGAAACCUUGCAUCACCAGCAUCUGCCUUCACCCAUCCUGGCCCACAGUUACCCACAAGGAAGCCUGCACGGCGGUGGAGGGAACUGCUGGGAAGUCAGGGGAAGAUCCCAACUGAGAAACGGCACAGAAGGCUGGUAGCUCAGGUGACACGAAGGUCACCUGGGAGACUGGGUCCCUGACUUUAGGGGUCUUGCUCUGGCACAUGAGGUGUCCUUAUAGAAUCUUGGGCCAGUACCUCUGGUAGGAUUGGGGUUCUGGUUCUGCCCUCUUAGUGUCCAGCUGAGGUCCUUGCCAUCUGCAGUGAUGUUCCACUGUGGGCUGCCAUCAAAUUCUGGUGACUCUGCCAUCCAGCGCUUGUCCGGGAGGAAUCCUGCUGUGGCGCCUGCGCGCUCAUCAGCUCCCACCCGGAGAGCACCGCCCCCAACGGCCGACGCAGCGGCCAUUUCCCCGCUGCAGAGCUCAGCGAGGGGCUCAUCUCAGGGAGGGAAGCAGCUGAUGUUCUCAUGGGGGUUUUCUUCUCUGCCCUCCUUCCCCCAGAAACCCCCCAAAUACCCUUACCGUUCGCUCCCCUUGUCUGCAUCUCGGGGCUCUUCCUGGAAGCCCCCCUAGGCCCAGCUGAGUGAGGGUGCUACUCAGGGCAAGUCCUCCCUCUGUCCCCCUGACUACUCACCGCCCUCUAACCUGGGCCUGUGACACCUCCGAGCCAUCUCCUGGUGGCAGAACAGCUUUCUUGCUUGGCCUGUCCCCAGGCCUGCCCACUGUGGGUGGUGGUUCUUCACCUGGGUGGUUGCAGCAAAGCUUUAACCUCGGAUGAAAGUGGACAAAAUCAGAAUUUACUCAUUUUCACAUACAUUUUAGGAGUUGAAUGCCAAGCCAGAAUACCCCCAGCGGCAAAGAUCGGGGGCCCUGCCUUCAAGGAAAUCCGUUUAGAGGGGAAAAUAAGGAUACAUAAUAAAGGACAAAUUACCAGUCCAA